CGUAGCUUCCUUGUCGUGUGGCCUCAGUCCUUCGCCGUCCCUCGCCGUCCUUCGCCAUCGCACGCCACCGCACCCCAUCUCUCGAAAUCUGCAGACAUCUUGAUUUUUCCCACGCUGUCUGUCAGGUCUCCGCCGCCACUCGACGCCAGGGCGCCGGGUGAGUCCACAGCAGGGCGCAUGGUCGGCUCCACUCUCACCAUCGGGGGAAACUGAGGCCCCGGGGAAGGCGGCCAGAGAGGUCAGGCCCUGUCCUUGGUGCAGUGUCUCGUCCUCUUUGCCGGAGUGAGCCCCCCAGGAUUCGCGUGUCCUCGGGAAAGACACUGGCAGGAGUGUCACAUGACUGCCGCCCCAUGUGUGUGAGAGGCGUCCUCUGGGAGAGCAUGGAUCCUGAGGUCCCAGGAUUGUCAGCUGACCUCUGUCCUGUGUGCCCAGUGGCCCCAGGUGACGUGUCUUCAAGAAGAGGCUGAGCUGCGGUGCUUGUAAGGGUCUCAUUCUGUCACCCAGGCUGGAGUGCAGUGGUGCAAUGAUGGCUCACUGCAGCCUCGACCUGGGCUCAAGUGAUCCUCCACCUCAGCUUCCUGAGUAGCUGGGACCACAGAGUCAUGUGCUGUUCCUGGGGCUUGGAUGAUGUAGGGGAAGCAAGGUGAAAGUGGUAUCCCGUGGUUCCACGUUCUGUCCUGCUGUGGGGCUGUCCCUCACAUGCUUUCAGUGGCUGUUGCAGAGGAAGAGCCUCCGGAAAUCUGCGUGGGUCUCAGCCUUAGAUCCAAGGACAGUCCAAGGAAGUCCUAAGACCAUGGAGUUGGUGAUCUGGGAUCUGGGUUUGCUGAUAUUUCUCACCGUGAAUCUCUUGGUGGUGUUUGUGGGCACGAGAGGGGCAGAGAAUGGAGAGUGAGGCUACCACAUGAAGCGUCACCAGAGCUGCUCCCUGCUGCCUGCUCAGAGCACCCCGGAUCCACUGUUCAAUCUGCACAAGAUUCGGGGUCCAGACAUGGGAGACUUCAGCUGCCUCAGAGGACCGUGGACAGGGAAGGCCAGCCUCGCAUCCCUCUGUCCAUGCCUGGAAUGACUUUAAUAACCAAGAGUUUUAUUUUUGAAUUUGUAGCUGUCGUUCACUUUUUACCCACCCAUUCAAUAAACCUUACAGAAUUGC
rnacentral:lncRNA from 1 species